AUUGAACGCUGGCUGCAGGCCUAACACAUGCAAGUCGAACGAGUGGCGGACGGGUGAGUAAUGUCUGGGAAACUGCCUGAUGGAGGGGGAUAACUACUGGAAACGGUAGCUAAUACCGCAUACCAUCAGAUGUGCCCAGAUGGGAGUAGCUUGUUGGUGGGGUAACGGCUAACAAAGGCGAAGAUCCCUAGCUGGUCUGAGAGGAUGACCACCCAACAGUGAACUGAGACACGUGCCAGACGCCUACGGAAGGCAGCAGUGGGUAAUAUUGCACAAUGGGCGCAAGCCUGAUGCAGCCAUGCCGCGUGUAUGAAGAAGGCCUUCGGGUUGUAAAGUACUUUCAGCGGGGAGGCGUUACCCGCAGAAGAAGCACCGGCUAACUCCGUGCCAGCAGCCGCGGUAAUUC
rnacentral:rRNA from 1 species